AGGGAUCAUUACCGAGUUUACAACUCCCAAACCCCUGUGAACAUACCACUUGUUGCCUCGGCGGAUCAGCCCGCUCCCGGUAAAACGGGACGGCCCGCCAGAGGACCCCUAAACUCUGUUUCUAUAUGUAACUUCUGAGUAAAACCAUAAAUAAAUCAAAACUUUCAACAACGGAUCUCUUGGUUCUGGCAUCGAUGAAGAACGCAGCAAAAUGCGAUAAGUAAUGCGAAUUGCAGAAUUCAGUGAAUCAUCGAAUCUUUGAACGCACAUUGCGCCCGCCAGUAUUCUGGCGGGCAUGCCUGUUCGAGCGUCAUUUCAACCCUCAAGCACAGCUUGGUGUUGGGACCCGCGUUAAUUCGCGUUCCCCAAAUUGAUUGGCGGUCACGUCGAGCUUCCAUAGCGUAGUAGUAAAACCCUCGUUACUGGUAAUCGUCGCGGCCACGCCGUUAAACCCCAACUUCUGAAUGUUGACCUCGGAUCAGGUAGGAAUACCCGCUGAACUUAA
rnacentral:rRNA from 1 species